rnacentral:rRNA from 1 species
UACGUAGGGGCAAGCGUUGUCCGGAAUUACUGGGUGUAAAGGGUUCGUAGGCGGUGCGGCAAGUUGGGAGUGAAAUCUCUGGGCUUAACCCAGAGGCUGCUUCCAAAACUGCUGUGCUUGAGUGUGGGAGAGGCGCGUGGAAUUGCAGGUGUAGCGGUGAAAUGCGUAGAUAUCUGCAGGAACACCCGUGGCGAAAGCGGCGCGCUGGACCACUACUGACGCUGAGGAACGAAAGCUAGGGGAGCAAACAGG